rnacentral:rRNA from 1 species
AUUGAACGCUGGCGGCAGGCCUAACACAUGCAAGUCGAGCGAGCGGCGGACGGGUGAGUAAUGUAUGUGGACAGCCCGAUAGAGGGGGGUAACUACUGGAAACGGUGGCUAAUACCCCAUACUCUCUGAUAACCCAUAUGUGAUUAGCUAGUAGGUAAGGUAAUGGCUUACCUCUGCGACGAUCCCUAGCGGGUCUGGGAGGAUGAUCAGCCACACUGGGACGGGGAAACGGCCCAGACUCCUGCGGGGGCAGCGGUGGGGAAUAUUGGACAAGGGGCGAAAGCGUGAUGCAGACAUGCCGCGUGUAUGAAGAAGGCCCUAGGGUUGUAAAGUACGUUAAGUGGGGAGGCGUUACCGACAGAAGAAGCAACGGCUAACUCCGUGCCAGCAGCCGCGGUAAUAC